UGUAUCGGAAAAUGUGUGAUUAAAUAUGACUUAGAAUUUAUUAAAUUUGGAUCUGAAUUUAAUUUGUAUGUGGGUUUUUAUGCAAUUGUUGUGAGUGGGAAUAUAACGUGUUUUUACAUACGAGAAUAAGUGAUGAAAAAUUUUUCGUGUCAUUGUGGAGAAAAAUAUACGAAAACUGUUUAAGUGUGCAUUUCAUAAUACAAAUUUAAGGUUAGAGUAAGGAAUAGCUGGAUGCCAGUUAUUAAGACAGUGGAAGAAAAUUCGACCAGAUAUUGCUAGAAGUAAUGCACAAGACACAGUAAUGUUGCCUUGUAAUAUGUCGUUUGUCUAGACAUCGAUGGGAAAAUUACAGCAAUAAAUUUAUAGAGUCAACAAAUUGAACAGAUACAAUCAAGAAAUUAUCCAUACAAGAAGAUCAUUGAAUUACAUACGUUUGUCUUGCAAUUUAUAGACCUUAAAAAGAAUGUAAUGCCAUCGUAUUUUAUAAAUCAUAAUAUAUCAGAACAGUGACUAAUCAAUGGUUUACAGAAGCAGUUGAAGGUUCUACAAAUAUCAAUGCAAAGCAAGCAAUAAAAUAAAGACAAUUAGAACAAAACAACUAGAAUAAAGCGUACAAUAGACAAAAUAUUUUUACUCAAUGAAGAAACAAUUGUGGUAUAUCGAACAGACUAUUGCGAAAAAUGUACUACCCUCAGUCAAAUAAGAUUUUUACUUUGUAAACAGAUUUAUUUCAUUUUCUCUACGCGAAUGAUUUUAUAUCUAUUAGUUAAACUGAAUUUAAAUGUUUUUUAAUG